UCUACCGCUAUCUACUACGAACUUCAAAGA
rnacentral:piRNA from 1 species